GGAUGACAUGAUGAAUUAAUUAUUUCCCUAUUGGUUUGAUUGCCUGGAUGAUGGCAUCUGUGUAUUAGCUCUAUCUGAUCAUCC
rnacentral:snoRNA from 1 species